UAUUAAUUCUACAGUAUAGAUGCAUAUAAAUGUAUAUAAAUGUUACCCAUUUAAUUAUUCUUUAUUUGUCAAAGUUACAGAUAUAUUUUACUUUUUCCCCAAAGAGCUCAAGACAAUUCCCUCCUCAAAGUUUAGCUCUCACAACAACCUUGAGGUAGACCAGAUUGAGAGAAGGCUACUUUAGGUCUUUGACUUCUCUUUCUCUGCCUUCGAGAGAUAUAUAUUCCAAACAUGGUGAAUAUUGAAACAAGAACUCUAAAAAGAAAUAACCCAACAUGGCAAGUUUCUAAAUUCUGUUUCAGGAUUGGGUGAGAACAAAUCCAAACAAUGGUUCAGAGGAACCCCUUCUUAUACAGAGAACUUUGGCCAUAUGUGUUAUGUUAAAUCUGGAGCUUAGGCAAGUUACCUUUUUGACCAACUUCCCCAAUCGCCCAGCCACUGUGUGCCCUGACUUGCGGAAAUUGUCAUCCUCCAAAGUGACUUUUUAAGCUCAGUGCCAAUUGUGUUGCUUAUAUGUAUAUAGAAACAUCUAUUUUUGUUCUAGGCAUAAAUGCUUCUAACACCUCUGUGUAAGGAACAUUAUGUAAUUCUUCUAUAAAUUUCAUGCAUAUCUCCACGAAAGCUCCUGUCUAUUCUUAAGACGAGAAUACUGUACUUUCAGUGAUGAUGAAAGAGAAAGGAGACUUAUUCAGGGACACUUUCAUCAAUAUUCCUUGGGGCUAGUUCUUGAGUGGAGCAAGCUGAAUGUGACAAUUGAUGCAAGGUUUUGAACUGCUGCUGUGGAGGUAUUCUUUCCUCCCAUUGAUAAUGGAUCUGUCAUAUGGACUAGCUGUGAUCAGAAUGGAGAAUCUCCAUCUUCUGGCAAAGAAAUGUGUAGGUGACUGGCACUCUAAAACUGCUCCAUCCCUUCUGAGUUUCAGAAAAAAGGUGAAGACCUGGCUUUGCGAACAAGCAUUUAAUGAAUGAAUUAUGAUGGCUUUAACUCGGUCCAGACUAAGGUUUACGUGCAAGGUUUAUGUGGACGAAUGGAUUAAGUAUUUUAUUAUACUGUUUUAAAUGUAUUUAUUGGAUUGUUUUAAAUUGAUUGUUUUAAUUGCUAUGUUUAUUUUUGUACUGUAUACCGGCAUCGAAUUUGCCAGAUUGUGAGCCGCCCUGAGUCCCUUCGGGUGAGAAGGGCGGCAUAUAAAUGAUGGAAAUAAAUAAUAAUAAAUAAAAUAAAUUAUCU